UACGUAGGGGGCUAGCGUUGUCCGGAAUCAUUGGGCGUAAAGCGCGUGUAGGCGGCCCGGUAAGUCCGCUGUGAAAGUCGGGGGCUCAACCCUCGGAUGCCGGUGGAUACUGUCGGGCUCGAGUACGGAAGAGGCGAGUGGAAUUCCUGGUGUAGCGGUGAAAUGCGCAGAUAUCAGGAGGAACACCAAUUGCGAAGGCAGCUCGCUGGGACGUCACUGACGCUGAGGAGCGAAAGCGUGGGGAGCGAACAGG
rnacentral:rRNA from 1 species